CUAAAAUACACAACCAUACAGUCUUACACAUACAAACACAUGAUCGAUCAACAAUCCAAGUUUGAACUCCACCCCACCCUACUCAACAAGUUCCACUGUUUAUCUAUCUCUAGUCUCUACCUAUAUUUUUUAUUUAAGACCCAUCAUAUAUUAAAGAGGUAAAAUAGUUUUUACAGUAAAAUAAAUAAGUGACAUAAAAUUAAAUUUUACUCCAGAUGUUCCAGCAUGGGUUGUUGUGAUUUUGGAACUUGAGGUGAAUGGUCUGGAUUUUGAUUUUAGCACCUCCACAUCUGAUAGAGUAGGAUUCCAAACUGCGCCCAGAUUAUGCCACCUUGAUUUGCUAGAGUCACUGCAAAAUUUGAAACAAAUAUAAACCGUUGUUGGAAAAAAUUCUCGUUUUCUCUUGAUUUAUAAGCUUAAUUUUUGUUUCCAGUAAUUCCACAAUAGAUAUGUUUGUGCUUAAAGCUGAGAGCCACUAUCUCCUUUUUCCUCUUUCCCCUAUUCAUCCCUCUCACAUUCCAUACCAGUAGGAUCAUGUCGAGGGUAGGCGCAACUCCUGAUAGUGGAUUUUGAUCACUCCUGAGCAGCUACAGCUUUCUUAUCAGUUGCAAUUGCCUUGGACUUCUUUUUCUUCUUCGCUAUUUGGAGGACCCGUGAGAAGUUCAGAGAAUUAUGUUGCCUCUGCCUGUUGGUCGUGAGCCAAUGAGCCAUCUGAAAAGAAUAAGGCCGAGAGAUGAAAUUGUUCGGGGAGAAGAGAAAGAGAGGAAGAUGGACAGACACUCACCCGGAGGAUGAGGGUGUCCCAAGGACCGCCGGCAUACCUCCAUUUUUUCCCAUCUUCUUCUUCCUGCUUUACAACUACCAUAUGAAAGAAGAAAAAUUACCUGGUGGGUAGAUCUGUGUGAAUCUUGCUUGGAAAUUGGAAUGGUGAAUGAUGAUGGAGUGUGAAGUAAUUGGAUGAAUCGCCGAUAUAUAUUAAGAACCAACCUCUGCUAUCUAUCGAAAGGCGUAAAAACGACUCUCUUGUUUGGAAGAACGUCAUGAAACAAAGCCGCAUCAAGUAGAAUUAAUGAACUACUUUAAACUCAAUUUUAAUUAGAUAUCUAUAUUGAUUGAUACAUCAUUCAUAAAAUAUCUUAUAAUUUUUUAAGGGAACAACGAAUCAUAUCUUGGAAAAAACAUAUGGUCGAAACCAUUUUAAUUAAUCAAAAUUGCCUUAACAAAAAAAGAACUUUAAUGAUUAUGAUAAACUUUGUUUGGGCCUUAGCCCCUCUCCUCUCUUUUUAAGAA
rnacentral:lncRNA from 1 species